CCACGGGUUGCUGCAGUGAGGAAUAUUGCACAAUGGGGGGAACCCUGAUGCAGCAACGCCGCGUGGAGGAUGACGCAUUUCGGUGUGUAAACUCCUUUUAUAUGUCAAGAAAAUGACGGUAGCAUAUGAAUAAGCACCGGCUAACUCCGUGCCAGCAGCCGCGGUAAUACGGAGGGUGCAAGCGUUACUCGGAAUCACUGGGCGUAAAGGACGCGUAGGCGGGUUCGAAAGUCAGGUGUGAAAUCCUACAGCUUAACUGUAGAACUGCACUUGAAACUUCUAAUCUAGAGUAUGGGAGGGGGAGAUGGAAUUAGUGGUGUAGGGGUAAAAUCCGUAGAUAUCACUAGGAAUACCUAAAGCGAAGGCGAUCUCCUGGAACAUUACUGACGCUAAGGCGUGAAAGCGUGGGGAGCAAACAGGAUUAGAUACCCCUGUAGUC
rnacentral:rRNA from 1 species